rnacentral:rRNA from 1 species
AUUGAACGCUGGCGGCAGGCCUAACACAUGCAAGUCGAGCGAGCGGCGGACGGGUGAGUAAUGUCUGGGAAACUGACUGAUGGAGGGGGAUAACUACUGGAAACGGUAGCUAAUACAGCAUACCAUCAGAUGUGCCCAGGUGGGAUUAGCUAGGAGGUGGGGUAACGGCUCACCUAGGCGACGAGCCCUAGCUGGUCUGAGAGGAUGACCAGCCACACCGGAACGUAGACACGGGCCAGACUCUGACGGUAGGCAGCAGUGGGGAAUAUUGCACAAUGGGCGCAAGCCUGAUGCAGCCAUGCCGCGUGUGUGAAGAGGGCCUUCGGGUUGUAAAGCACUUUCAGCGGGGAGGCGUUACCCGCAGAAGAAGCACCGGCUAACUCCGUGCCAGCAGCCGCGGUAAUAC